rnacentral:rRNA from 1 species
AACGAACGCUGGCGGCAUGCCUAACACAUGCAAGUCGAACGAGACCUCCGGGUCUAUUGGCGUACGGGUGCGUAACGCGUGGGAACCUGCCCUUAGGUUCGGAAUAACUCCCCGAAAGGGGUGCUAAUACCGGAUAAUGUCUUCGGACCAAAGAUUUAUCGCCUGUGGAUGGGCCCGCGUUGGAUUAGCUAGUUGGUAGGGUAAUAGCCUACCAAGGCGACGAUCCAUAGCUGGUCUGAGAGGAUGAUCAGCCACACUGGGACUGAGACACGGCCCAGACUCCUACGGAAGGGAGCAGUGCGGAAUAUUGGACAGUGGGCGAAAGCCUGAUCCAGCACUGCCGCGUGAGUGAUGAAGGCCUUAGGGUUGUAAAGCUCUUUUACCCGGGAUGAUAAUGACAGUACCGGGAGAAUAAGCUCCGGCUAACUACGUG